rnacentral:rRNA from 1 species
GGGGAAUUUUCCGCAAUGGGCGAAAGCCUGACGGAGCAAUACCGCGUGAGGGAGGAAGGCUCUUGGGUUGUAAACCUCUUUUCUCAGGGAAUAAGAACUGAAGGUACCUGAGGAAUCAGCAUCGGCUAACUCCGUGCCAGCAGCCGCGGUAAUACGGAGGAUGCAAGCGUUAUCCGGAAUGAUUGGGCGUAAAGCGUCCGCAGGUGGUUUAUCAAGUCUGCUGUCAAAGAGUUUGGCUCAACCAAAUAAAGGCAGUGGAAACUGACAGACUGGAGUGCGGUAAGGGCAGAGGGAAUUCCUGAUGUAGCGGUGAAAUGCGUAGAGAUCAGGAAGAACACCGGUGGCGAAAGCGCUCUGCUAGGCCGAGACUGACACUGAGGGACGAAAGCUAGGGGAGCGAAUGGGAUUAGAUACCCCAGUAGUCA